GCGUUGAUGGUAUACCGAUAAGCAUAGCUGUUUUCUAAGCAGUUAAUCCGGGUUCGAUUCCCGGCCAAAGCA
rnacentral:tRNA from 1 species